rnacentral:rRNA from 1 species
GACGAACGCUGGCGGCGUGCUUAACACAUGCAAGUCGAACGGAAAGGCCCUGCUUUUGUGGGGUGCUCGAGUGGCGAACGUGUGAGUAACCCGUGAGUAACCUUCCCUUUACUUUGGGAUAACUUCAGGAAACUGGGGCUAAUACCUGAUUGCAGCUCCUGCUGCAUGGUGGGGGUUGGAAAGUUUCGGCGGUUGGGGAUGGACUGGCGGCUUAUCAGCUUGUUGGUGGGGUAGUGGCUUACCAAGGCUUUGACGGGUAGCCGGCGUGAGAGGGUGACCGGCCACAUUGGGACUGAGAGACGGCCCAGACUCCUACGGGAGGCAGCAGUGGGGAAUAUUGCACAAUGGGCGGAAGCCUGAUGCAGAAACGCCGCGUGCGGGAUGAAGGCCUUCGGGGUGUAAACCGCUUUAGCCUGUGACGAAGCGUGAGUGACGGUAAUGGGUAAAGAAGCACCGGCUAACUACGUG